GAUGAAGAACGCAGCGAAAUGCGAUAAGUAAUGUGAAUUGCAGAAUUCAGUGAAUCAUCAAAUCUUUGAACGCACAUUGCGCCCGCCAGUAUUCUGGCGGGCAUGCCUGUCUGAGCGUCAUUUCAACCCUCAUGCCCCUAGGGCGUGGUGUUGGGGAUCGGCCAAAGCCCGCGAGGGACGGCCGGCCCCUAAAUCUAGUGGCGGACCCGUCGUGGCCUCCUCUGCGAAGUAGUGAUAUUCCGCAUCGGAGAGCGAUGAGCCCCUGCCGUUAAACCCCCAACUUUCCAAGGUUGACCUCAGAUCAGGUAGGAAUACCCGCUGAACUUAAGCAUAUCAAUAAGCGGAGGA
rnacentral:misc_RNA from 1 species